rnacentral:rRNA from 1 species
UGCCAGCCGCCGCGGUAAUACGGAGGGUCCAAGCGUUAUCCGGAUUCAUUGGGUUUAAAGGGUGCGCAGGCGGACCGAUAAGUCAGUGGUGAAAUCCUACAGCUCAACUGUAGAACUGCCAUUGAUACUGUCGAUCUUGAGUAUAGUUGAAGUGGGCGGAAUGUAUCAUGUAGCGGUGAAAUGCAUAGAUAUGAUACAGAACUCCGAUAGCGAAGGCAGCUCACUAACCUAUAACUGACGCUCAGGCACGAAAGCGUGGGGAGCAAACAGGAUUAGAUA